ensembl:lncRNA MUC20-OT1 MUC20 overlapping transcript
AACACUGCUAUGAAUAUUCAUUGAUAGGUUUUUGUGUGAACAUGUGUUUUUAAUUCUCCUAACUACAGGCUCAGAAGUAGGGUUUCUGGGUCAUAUGGCAACUCUAUGUUUACAUUCUGAGAAACUGUCAAAUUGUUUUUCUUUUUUUUCUUUUUUUUUUUUAUUCUUUUCUGCUGCCACCUCAUCUCCCCAAAUUGAUUUUCAAAGUGGCUGCACCAUUUUGCAAUUCCACCAGCAGUGUAUGAGGGUUCCAAUUUCUCCACACCCUCAGCAACACUUCAACACUUGCUUUUUUUUUUUUUUUUUUUGAGAUGGGGUCUCGCUCUGUCGCCAGGCUGGAGUGCAGUGGCGUGAUCUCAGCUCACUGCGACCUCUGCCUCCUGGGUUCAAGAGAUUCUCGUGCCUCAGCCUCCUGAGUAGCUGGGACUACAGGCAGCUGCUCCCAACCCCAGAACCUUUGCUGUCUUGGGACGGAUCACCGCUGCAAGAGGGGAAGUUGCUACUGUGAUGAAUUCUGCCAUGUGGCACCAGACUGCCACCCAGACCACAGUGUCCUCUGCAACCCUGGUAACUCACAUACAGGCCCGAUUCCACCUACAGCAAAGCUGGAUGCGAUGGCUGGCAGAGGCAAACCCUUUGCCUGCACUUCAGGCCAAAGCCGGGAUGUGGCCUAGAUGGUUCCUAAGGUCCCUGACAAUCCUGAGAUCUUGCAUCUUGUCUAUUUCAGGUCAAAGCUUCUCAGAUGACCAAGAUGGUGCUGCAGAUGGUGCUGAGGAUGGAGAACCCACCAAGCCC